rnacentral:tRNA from 1 species
UCCCUGAGGGUCUAGUGGUUGGGACUCAGUGCUUUUAUUGCUGCAGCCUGGGUUCAAUCCUUGGUCUGGGAA